CCUACGGGUGGCAGCAGUGGGGAAUAUUGGACAAUGGGCGAAAGCCUGAUCCAGCCAUGCCGCGUGUGUGAAGAAGGCCUUCGGGUUGUAAAGCACUUUCAGUGGGGAAGAAAGCCUUGGGGCUAAUACCCUCGAGGAAGGACAUCACCCACAGAAGAAGCACCGGCUAACUCCGUGCCAGCAGCCGCGGUAAUACGGAGGGUGCGAGCGUUAAUCGGAAUUACUGGGCGUAAAGCGCGCGUAGGCGGUCUGAUAAGCCGGUUGUGAAAGCCCCGGGCUCAACCUGGGAACGGCAUCCGGAACUGUCAGGCUAGAGUGCAGGAGAGGAAGGUAGAAUUCCCGGUGUAGCGGUGAAAUGCGUAGAGAUCGGGAGGAAUACCAGUGGCGAAGGCGGCCUUCUGGACUGACACUGACGCUGAGGUGCGAAAGCGUGGGUAGCAAACAGGAUUAAUACCCCAUAGUC
rnacentral:rRNA from 1 species